UGCAGUCGAACGAUGAUGCCCAGCUUGCUGGGCGGAUUAGUGGCGAACGGGUGAGUAAUACGUGAGUAACCUGCCCUUGACUCUGGGAUAAGCCUGGGAAACUGGGUCUAAUACUGGAUACUACCUCUUACCGCAUGGUGGGUGGUGGAAAGGGUUUUACUGGUUUUGGAUGGGCUCACGGCCUAUCAGCUUGUUGGUGGGGUAAUGGCUCACCAAGGCGACGACGGGUAGCCGGCCUGAGAGGGUGACCGGCCACACUGGGACUGAGACACGGCCCAGACUCCUACGGGAGGCAGCAGUGGGGAAUAUUGCACAAUGGGCGGAAGCCUGAUGCAGCGACGCCGCGUGAGGGAUGACGGCCUUCGGGUUGUAAACCUCUUUCAGUAGGGAAGAAGCGAGAGUGACGGUACCUGCAGAAGAAGCGCCGGCUAACUACGUGCCAGCAGCCGCGGUAAUACGUAGGGCGCAAGCGUUGUCCGGAAUUAUUGGGCGUAAAGAGCUCGUAGGCGGUUUGUCGCGUCUGCUGUGAAAGCCCGGGGCUCAACCCCGGGUCUGCAGUGGGUACGGGCAGACUAGAGUGCAGUAGGGGAGACUGGAAUUCCUGGUGUAGCGGUGAAAUGCGCAGAUAUCAGGAGGAACACCGAUGGCGAAGGCAGGUCUCUGGGCUGUUACUGACGCUGAGGAGCGAAAGCAUGGGGAGCGAACAGGAUUAGAUACCCUGGUAGUCCAUGCCGUAAACGUUGGGCACUAGGUGUGGGGGGACAUUCCACGUUUUCCGCGCCGUAGCUAACGCAUUAAGUGCCCCGCCUGGGGAGUACGGCCGCAAGGCUAAAACUCAAAGGAAUUGACGGGGGCCCGCACAAGCGGCGGAGCAUGCGGAUUAAUUCGAUGCAACGCGAAGAACCUUACCAAGGCUUGACAUUCACCGGACCGCCCCAGAGAUGGGGUUUCCCUUCGGGGCUGGUGGACAGGUGGUGCAUGGUUGUCGUCAGCUCGUGUCGUGAGAUGUUGGGUUAAGUCCCGCAACGAGCGCAACCCUCGUUCUAUGUUGCCAGCACGUGAUGGUGGGGACUCAUAGGAGACUGCCGGGGUCAACUCGGAGGAAGGUGGGGAUGACGUCAAAUCAUCAUGCCCCUUAUGGUCUUGGGCUUCACGCAUGCUACAAUGGCCGGUACAAAGGGUUGCGAUACUGUGAGGUGGAGCUAAUCCCAAAAAGCCGGUCUCAGUUCGGAUUGAGGUCUGCAACUCGACCUCAUGAAGUCGGAGUCGCUAGUAAUCGCAGAUCAGCAACGCUGCGGUGAAUACGUUCCCGGGCCUUGUACACACCGCCCGUCAAGUCACGAAAGUUGGUAACACCCGAAGCCGGUGGCCUAACCC
rnacentral:rRNA from 1 species